rnacentral:rRNA from 1 species
GAUGAACGCUGGCGGCGUGCCUUAGGCAUGCAAGUCGAACGGGAGCAGUAAUGCUUCAGUGGCAGACGGGUGAGUAACGCGUAGGAAUCUACCUCUAGGAGGAGGAUAGCCAGCCGAAAGGUUGGGUAAUACUCCAUAGUUCUCGUAAGAGUAAAGGACUUAACGGUCCGCCAAGAGAGGAGCCUGCGUCCUAUCAGCUUGUUGGCGGGGUAAAAGCCCACCAAGGCAAUGACGGGUAGCUGGACUGAGAGGUCGAUCAGCCACAACUGCACUGAGAUACGGGCAGUACACCUACGGGUGGCAG